GCUUUUUCCUCGCUUUUUUUUGUUGUGUCUUCUUUGACUUCCUCCCUUGCUGGAGCAGCUUGUCCGCCUCGUUUCCUUGUUUGUUUUCCCUUGUUUUUCUUUUCUCUGUCUUUAUGAGCUUCUAACGGCUCGACUAGCGGAAAAGGGUCAGUAACGUGAUAGAGCCACCCUCACCCCCUCUCUACCGCCACUCUCACGGCAGCUGCGCCUCAUACACACUUGCGGGCCCGCCCAGUCUUCACGCAGAGCUCUUGUGCGCAGCUGUUUUCUUUUUUUUUCCACUUGAUCAGUGCACCUACGCAUUUUGCACCAUUUAAAGUGGAGGGUCGGCUUCGUUCUGCUGCUGCUGCUGCUACGUUGAGGAAUCCUUUCUUCCCUGCUUUUCCACGUCCUUUUUUCUCUGUUUAGAUAGAACCAUCUUUAGUCGCACUCAUACAAUGGACGCUCGCCGCACCGCCGUCUCUUCGUUGCCAGGAGGCACUCCCGUUAGCGGCGGUGUUGGUGACAGCGGUGGUCUUCACCGCGGCUUCAACGCAGAUGAACGCAGCACUUCUGCUGCCGCGGUCUUUGCUACCGACUCCGCUGCGUUAGCUGCUGCUUCACCUUCCCUGUUUUCGCUGGACGGUAGUGCACCCUUUGCACGUCUUAGCUCUGUACAAAACCGAGACUGUGGGCUGAGGUGUGUGUCGGGCAGUGGGCUUCCGGCACGCACCAAGCGAAAGCCGACUUGCACCGCCAGUGCCAGGCACACCAUGGCGACGACGCAGGCCGCCAGCCCCUUGCAAGGCGCCGCGUCAGCAUUCUCGUUGUGGGGCGUGAGGUGCAUUCCUCGACUGACCGGCGCUACCGCGUUGCGGAAAACGCCGCCCAUGCGUCUCUCGUCCGCUUCGUCAGAGUCGCACCCUACCGCCAUGCGCGCUCGACCAUAUUUGAACAACUACCUUUCCGGACAGGCCACUCCGUCGUUCAGUAGCACUGGCACACAAAUACGCCUCUCGCAUCCUCUUCGAUCCGCUUCCGCACCUCGUGAACGCGCCGCCGCGGCGCCGCCUGCGCCUGCCGACGGCUCCUCAGCCUCUCGUUCCACGGUCGACCCGAUCAAGGAGAGAGUCGAAGAGGUCGCAUUCGCGUUUGCAGGCUACGCGGUGCCAGAGGAAGGAGCUCCGAAAAGAGCACGCAGCGUGAGCCCGACGCCGCCCUUCUCUGCUUCCUCGUCUGCAAGCUGCGCCGCUGCCAAUCACGUGGUCCCCGUGCGACCGUUCCUGCGGCCGCACCUUCCCUCGUACCGGGGAGAAGGGCUAUGUGAGCGUACCCACGCCCCAGAAACGACCGAUGCGGGUAAGUCGUCGAAGGCACACUCACGUCUCGCCACGUUCACGCGGCGAGCUGCUAGUGCGACUCAGAAGGCAGUGCGUCAGCGUCCGCCAGCCAUGCGCAUGACGCGGUCCUCGACGCUGAACCGACCUGUCCUUCUUACAAAGGAUGCCUCUCGCGCGCACCCAGGCGCUGCCUAUGACACUUCUUCUGUCGCGAGCGCUGCGGCUGUCGCGGGGGCAAGGGCCUCUCCUUUACCGUCUCCGAGCGUGUCUUCCGGUGACCUCUGCGACACCAAAGGGGUAAGCAGCAGUGAGACCCGCACAUGCCCUGCCGCAGCGACAGUUCAGUCUGUCUAUCUCUCACGACCUUCACCACCCACGCCGCCGCCGCGGCCAGCGGGGCAUCGGCGCUCUCGCCGGAACUCCCUCAUCUCAGUGAAAACUAACUCGUCGGCUUCCUUUCUGUACCACGAGCAGAACUUUUCCCCAGACGAGGAGGCCACCGCGACCCUGCGCUUCUUCAGCAUCAUGCCGGACUUGUCGGCUGCCAAGGAGGAACCGUGCUGCAGCUCUCCAGACGAGGACCUCACGAUGGGCACUAGCUCCUCUGUGCUGGGCGGGACGGGAAACAUCCCGUUCGCGGCGCAGUCCGGCAGCUCAGAGGCUGCCGCCACCCCCGUGUGCGGGGCGAGGAAAGGGGGCAGCGAUGGCGGUGACGCAGGCGGCCACUCGCACGACGCAACGAACUUUGCGGGGCCCCCGCCGAGCCCGCACACCAAAGGCUCCGUCUACGCAGGCGGCACCGCUGGGAUUGUGGCGCGGCUCAAGGAGCGGGGAAACGCGUUUCUUCUGCGCGAAGAAUUCGAGCUCGCCAUUGCGACCUACACGGAGGCGAUCCGACUUGACCCCGCCCACGAAGCGCUGUGGGGCAAUCGCGCGUGCGCGUUUUUACUGAGCUUUCGCUACCUCCCCGCGGUGGCGGACUGCCUUUACGUGCUGCACAUCUACCCCGGACACACAAAGGCGUGCUGGCGAGCCGCCAAGGCCUAUGCGGCCGCGUACCGGUUAGUGGAGGCGAAGAAGUACUACCAGCUGGCUCAGCAGGCAUGCGAGAGGGACGGUAUGUGGCGGGGGUCGGCCUCGACCAGCCGCAGAACGGCGUCUUUGUCGUCGAUGCGCAGCGACAAGGGUGGUGACGAGACCCCAGAUGGCCCCCUUGCACGUGACGCUGCGGGAAGCAGCUCUGCCGAGGCUGCUGGGGCCUGUUGCCGGCACGACAGCCGCCUCCUGAAGUCGCAGAGAGAGCGGCAAGUUCUGGCGGCCGAGGAGGCGGCACUGGAGAUGGUGGAAACCUACUGGCAGCAUCUCCGCCACGAGCGGUGGGCGGAUGCGUUAGCGGCUAUGGACAAGGUGUUGACCUUGGCCAGCUACACAGGGCCGACAGCCGUGUCCUGGCAGGCCCUCCGGCUCGAGGCGCUUCUCCACCUCCAUCCAAAGAAAGCGUUGUCCGAGGCGGAGGCUCUCUACCGUGCCUACCCGGAUUCUCUGGAGCUCUACCCGGUACUGGCCAAGUCCAUCUUCUAUGACGUGCACGACGCUGCUGCAACCAAGCGGUGUCUUGGCUUGCUGGACGAGGCGGCAGAGAAGCGCUGCGCGCAGAAUCACUUGCUGAAGGUGCACGUGCGCUACUGCGCGACGCAGCUGCGUGAGCGGCUUCCCGCGGACGCCGGUAAAACCACAGCUGUACACAUGGAGGCGUGGGGCAAGCUGCACUACCUCAGGGAGGACAGUCGCACCGCGGAGCUGCGCCAUACCAUCGAGAAGUUUGCGCGGCACCGCGACGCCGGGAACGCGGCGUACGAGGCCGGUGACUGGGACGCCGCCGCGUCCGCCUACACGCGCUGCCUCGAGACAGACCGCCUGAAUCACGCACUCCUGGCGGCAGUAUACUGCAAUCGGACGGCGGUGUACAUGCAAGCGGGUCGCUGGCGGGACGCACUCAGCGACGCAGACUCCGCCGUGUCCCUCAGCCCGCAGUACGCCACGGCGUACGCGAGACGCGGGCGAGUGAAACUAUACCUACUUGCACAGGAAUAUAGGGGACAACGCGCCGUGCUCGCGAGCUGCAGCGCAGCGCCGUGGACGGCGGCGAUGAAGGAGCGGCUGCAAGGCUAUGCCGACGCCGCCGUCACGGACCUGACGCGCGCGGUGGAGCUGUCGCCGACGAUAGAGCACAAGACGCAGCUGCAGCAGGCACUGGCGCAGCGCCGGGCUAUUAAAGCUUCGCUGAAGCCCACUUGUGAGACACCAAAGUCCUCCAUGCCGUUCUCAUCCUCAUCCGCUUCCGAAGGGGAGAGGCACCGCGGUCAGAGCGCGCAUUCGCCGCCCCCGCACGCGGAUGCGCGGCGUGUCGAGUCGGCGGCAUUAUGUGAGCUCACGGAUCAGUUGAAGUUGCUUGGACUGAGCAUCCUCGCGCCGUCGGCACCUGGAGAGUUCGGGAGGCUUCCAGAGCCGAAGGUGAUCGCCAAGGCGUACCGAGAGGCGGCCCUUCGGUGGCACCCAGACAAGUGGGUAACAGCCACUCCACACGAAAAGCAGCAGGCAGAGCAGCAGUUCAAAUCUAUAUGUGUCGCCUAUCAGGCGUUGCGAGAGCGCAGUGGUGUGGUGUUUUGAGGGAAUGUACGAGAGGGGCGCCCGUAAUGCGGAAUCUCUUGCGGAGGAUGUGCAGCGCGCACUUGAGCAGCGACACAGCCACGCUUACAGAGAAUGAGACGGCACUGCGCAUCUCCCACAAACUCCUGCUCGACAUAUUUCGCGUUUCUCGGCUGUAAAUUAUGGAAGGGGACGAAGAUGGCAGGUGCUGUUGUGUGCUCAUUUCGGUGCUUCUCGUCCUGUUUUAGCGUUGCUUGUGCCCCCUCCAUCGUCCAGUGUCUCUGUUGUUCGUUGGGUCUGCCGGUGCCCCUUCGCAGUUCUUAAUUUUAUGUUUCGGUGUGUGCGUGUGUUUUGGGAGGGGGGAUCUUGUCUUGGUACACUUUACGUUAGUUUUGCCGGUCUCUCUUUGUUCUUGACGUUGUUGCCUCGACAUUUCGGCUUGUUUUUUUUUAUUUAUCUUUUUGUUGGGUGGGUGGUGGUGGUGGGGUGGGGGCGCGUCUUUACUUUUCUAACGCCACGGACCUCCAAAUGAGACACAAGCACCUCCGCUCCCCACCACCUCCUUUCCUCGUCCCACUUCUCUCUCCGUUAUUACUGUCUUCUGUCGUCUCUUCGUCACCCCCCCCUGUAUUGUGGAACUUUGCGUCUUUUCUUUUUUUUUCUCGCGGGGGAGGGAGGGGCAUGGGAGACUUCGCCCCCUCCCUCCUCCCUGUCCCGAUACGACUGCUGCGUGCUUGGUUGUGUACAUGCUGUCUCUUUCAAGCGAAAUGGAUGCGUUGGGCAGUUUCUUGAUCUCUCUCUUUCCCCAUCUCCUUUCCUUCCCUCUUUGAGCUCUUUGAACUUUUCCGGACAUCGGUUUUGUUUCGUCUCUCGUGCCUGGCGUUGCAUGUGGGCGUGCGUGUGUGCUUACUGUGCAGCAAACAGUAUAGUACACGAGGAAAAGAAAAGAGGAGGGGUCCCCUGUUGGCUGCCAUACACAUCCUACUCCUCCGCUUCUUGCCCUCCCUUCCAUACACCUCCUUCUCCUCCGAUGUCCCUCCGUCUUAUUCAGCUUUUUUUUUGACCGCCUUUUCGCCCCUUCCUCUCCUCCUCUCGUUUUCUCAUGCCCCUCGGAGGCGGCGUGUGUCGACGCAGGCGGUUUGCUUGCGGUUCGCGAGAACAACAACACAGCAUUUUUCUUUUUGUUUUUGUUGUGCAUGUGUGUGUUUUGCCUGUUUCGUUGGCCGC
rnacentral:misc_RNA from 1 species